rnacentral:rRNA from 1 species
UACGUAGGGGGCAAGCGUUGUCCGGAUUUAUUGGGCGUAAAGAGCGUGUAGGCGGUUUGGUAGGUCCGCUGUGAAAACUCGAGGCUCAACCUCGAGACGCCGGUGGAAACCAUCAGGCUAGAGUCCGGAAGAGGAGAGUGGAAUUCCUGGUGUAGCGGUGGAAUGCGCAGAUAUCAGGAAGAACACCCGUGGCGAAGGCGGCUCUCUGGGACGGUACUGACGCUGAGACGCGAAAGCGUGGGGAGCGAACAGG